GAACGGGAGGAGGGACCGCGGGGCGGUGCGGGGGGACGGUAAAUGGCGCUGUGAGUACCUUCGGUCACAGUUGGACUCGCAGGUCCCGAGUCUGGCUCCUGAUUACUCUUUAUCGAGGACACACGGCUCCAGUUUUGACUCGGCUACGGUUGUUUUCUUCGUCUGUACCGCGAAAUCCUUAUGACGUCCGGAUCUGCGCAGCUUUUUUCUGUUCGUUUUGUUUUUCCAACCACAGCUGUGCGGUACAGAUUUUUCCCUUGGGAUGUGCCUUCCCUACUACCAAGCCCACUCUCAGAGCCUUGGGGCCCCAUAAAACUUCCCGCGCAGCUACUUUCUGGUCUUUGGAGACUUGGAAGGUUUCUUGGGGGAUUUUUUUUUGAGACGAAGUCUCGCUCUGACGGCUUCUAGUAUUCUUAAUUUGGAGAAGAGAGACAUAGGUUUCCUUGUACAACGGGAUGAGGAUGUAAGAGCAGAACAACACUGAUAUUUUAAAGGCGAGGAUAUUUAGAUUUGUGGAGCUGAAACUUGCCUGAAAAGGGAGAGAAAAUUUGGAAGUUUCUAAGCUGUGUGCAGUUUCUGCCCCUUACUCCAACUAUUGUUGAUACAUGUGAAGUUUUAAACUUCACAUGUAUCAACAAUAGUUACAGUUGUUGGGGCAGUCUAAAUUUGAUUAGCGAGUUGACCCCAGGCAUUAAUUUUUUUUAAAUGUUAUAAUAUACACUUAUACCAUUAUGUCCAGACUUCUCUUAAGCCUAUUUCGUGGUGGUUUUAUGGUCAUUUAGGGAUUAACUUGGGUAGGGAAAGCUGAGCAUACAUAAUUUAUUUUAGGAAUGCACCAGUUCUGCCAACAUUUAUCAGAAGUCACGUUUGAAGAAAGCUAUUCUGGAACUGAAGAUGUCAUUGGUUUAUGAGAGGAAAAUGGAAGCCAAAAGCCUGCACCUCAUGCUCUAUCUUUAAAACUUAACGUGGCAGACACAAUGAGUAGAAGGCUUUUAUGUUACCAGAAUGAAGGCUUAAAAUCUGUCAUUUUAUUGACUCGGCUUUCGUUUUAGAAAUUUCUUUAAGCUAUAAAUGCAAUGAAGAAUAUCACUCACACUCUUAAAAUAGAUUACGUUCUUUGGAACUUCUCUAAUCUGAAAUGUGCUUAAAAAGAAAAAUAUAUUUAAAAUACGUCAGUUAGUUUAUGGUAUAAUAUUAAACACACUAUCCAUCACUAGGGAAGUUAUGGUGGUACACCCUCCCCUCUCUCAGACGUCUACCCUAUUGCCAGAAGAGCAGAUUUUCCCUGUUGUGCAAAGUGUGUCCUUGAGGGAUGUUUGGAUGCUCUUGGUAAACCGGAAUCAACCAGAAGCAUAUCCGGUGUUAGCCCAUUGUGUCAUCAACAUUACAACAGUGAGGAAAUCCACAUAUCCCAAUGAAAGAGGAAAGCUUAUAGAAGAGGUUUCCAGUAUAUUUCCUUUGAGAUAUCUUUAUUCCUGUGACCUCAGAAGAUCAGGUUUUACCGUCCAAGGUUCACUUUGCCCAAAAACUUGAUUGUUCCUGUGGAAAAAGUGGCAUCGGAUGACCCUACAAACAAAGCAUUAUGACAUCGUCAGAGCCUGCUUUGUAAGGAAAAAAGUUACAAGAAUUCUGACACUCAUCACAGUGGAGCCAAUAUCUGAUCCCUUGGGUUACAUAUAUGUGAAAAGUAUCUUCACGGGAGGGAAAAGUCAAUGCCAGUCUUAUCCUUUCUAGCAGUUAGAAAUGACCAUCGGAUGACGAGGAGAUUUUUUUCUCAUCUCACAAACUACCCACAUCUCCACUUCCCUGGAAGAAAAAAAAUCCGGACAUACACGAGCUGUGUAUAUGCCUGAGAUCUUCCCUUCCAAGGAAGUUACCUGACCCUUAGAAGUUCAUCCACCAGGGCCAGGCAUGGUGGCUCAUGCCUGUAAUCCAAGCAUUUGGGGAUGCUGAGGCAGGAGGAUCACUUGUGCCCAGGAGUUUCAGACCAGCCUGGACAGCAUAGCGAGACCCCAUCUCUACAAAAAAAUAAGCCACGCAUGGUGGCACAUGCCUACUACUUGGGAGGCUGAGCUGAGAGGAUCACUUGAGCCAAGGAUGUCAAGGCUGCAGUUAACUGUGAUCAUGCUACUGCACUCCAGCCUAGUUGUUUGUUUUCUGGUUUUCCCGAAAAUCAAGAUGCUGUGUGAAAAGCGGUGGACUGGGAACCAGAAGAGUUGAGUGCUCAUCUUAAUCCCUCCCAGAAGUGAUACUAAACUCGUUUAACAACAAGUGUGGCACAAGUACCAACCAUUUAGAACAACAGAGACUGCUUAUUAUCAGUGUGGGGUCCUGAAAAGUCUCUGCUGAGAGGGCUGGGUAUCCUUAGAUCAUGGGGAAUUCCAGGUUGUGGGGUGGUUGAGAUGCUAUGAACCAGAGGUUCUUUGGGGGUCUGAGGGCAAUAGCUAUUUAUUUACCACUGCAGAUCUAUUUCAAUGUUUUCUUUUUGGUGUGAUGGAAAUAUUCUAAAAGUAGACUGUAGUGAUGGUUACCCAGACAUGUAAACAUAUUAAAAUAAUUGAACACUUACAGUGGGUGAAGUUUAUGGUAGGUAAAUUAUACCUUGAUAAAGCUGUUUGAAAAAAGAGAGGGGAGGCAUUGUAAUAUUUUAUUAUUAUUAUUAUUGGGAUGGAGUUUUCACUCUUGUCCAGGCUGGAGUGCAAUGGUAUAAGCUUGGCUCACUGUAACCUCUGCCUCCCGGGUUCAAGCCUCCUGCCUCAGCCUCUCAAGUAGCUGGGAUUAUAGGCAUGUGCCACCACGCCCGGCUACUUUUGUGUUUUUAAUAGAGACAAGGUUUCUCCAUGUUGGUCAGGUUGGUCUUGAACUCCUGACCUCGUGAUCCACCUGCCUCAGCCUCCCAAAGUCCUAGGAUUAUAGGCGUGAGCCACCGCGCCCGGCCCAUUGUAAUAUUUUAACUCUGGUAUAAUUAUGAAUCCUGGAUGACCUUAAGCCUGGCUCUCCCAUCAGUGAUGAGACCUAUGGCUGGUUAGGCAUCUCCCUGAGUUUGAAUUUUUUCAUCUGUAAAAUGGGUGGUCAUGAUUUCUUUGAAAUUUUCCAGAUAAAUUCUUUUCCUUGUCAAAAAGUUUCAUAAUGUGUUAUCGUAAUUUCUAUUGCCCCACUUUCAACCUACUCUUAAGUUCUUCACUACUCAAAUACAUUUUUGGUCCUUUCUUUGCUCCUUAGAGACCAUGGCAGCCCUAGUGAUUUUGUCCCUUCCAGACAGUUCUUCCUUAUCCUGCCUAGCUUUCCCAUCUCCAUUUUGUGCCCCUCGUUUGCCUGAUCUGUUUCACAUGUAUCAGAAAAGGCAAAGGCUUGAUUUCUCAUUAAGAUUCCUGUUAGCUCCACGAUCUGGAGUUGGUCAUUUAAACUUCUUUAAACUUUAGCUUCUUUAUUUUUAAAGUGAGAACAAAAUUUCCAACACAUGGUUUGUGACAGGGUCUAAAUAAGAUCAUGGAUGUGAAGGACCUUUGUAAAUUGCAUAGCACUGCUAGAUAAUGCUUUGAGAUGCGAUACCUAGUUUUCCUUCCUCAUUACUCAAUGCUGUCUGUCCAGUAAGCAGGUGUAAUGUUGACUGAAGAUAAGGAAUAAGGUAUCUGACAGUGACUGAGAAAUACCUCUGCCAAUAUUCUCAAGUUUCCUAUUGCUUAUGAACAUAGAAGAGCCUGGGCAGACACUGUGCUAUGGUCUGAAUAUUUAUGUGCCCUUUAAAUUCACAUGUUGAACUCUUAAUUAACCUCUGAGGUAAUAGAAUUAGGUUAUAUCAUAAAAUGCAGCCUUCAAGAAUGGGAUUAGUGCCCUUAUAAAAAAGACCUCAUGGCUGGGUGCUGUGGCUCACGCCUGUAAUCCCAGCACUUGGGAGACCAAGGCAGGUGGAUCAUCUGAGGUCAGGAGUUCAAGACCAGCCUGACCAACACUGUGAAACCCUGUCUCUACCAAAAGCACAAAAAUUUUCCAGGCAUGUUGAGGCAUCCCUGUGAUCCCAGCUACUUGGGAGGCUGAGGCAGGAGAAUUGCUUCAACCCAAUAGGCAGAGGUUGCAGUGAGCUGAAAUCAUGCCACUGCACUCACUCCAGCCUAGGCAACAAGAGUGAAACUUCAUCUCAAAAACAAAACAAAAACAAAAAAAAAACCUCAUAAAGCAUAAAGACCCUCACAAUUCCCACUAUGUGAGGCACAGCAAAAAGGUGGCUGUCCAUGAACCAGUAAGUGGACCCUCAUUAGACACUGAAUCUUCCAGUGUCUUGAUCUUAGAUUUUCCAGUCUCUAGAACUGCGAAAUAAGUUUCUGUUGUUUAUAAGCUGCCUAGUGAUGGCAUUUUGUUAUAAUAUCAAAUGGACAAAGGCACUUUAAACAGAGCUUACUAUAGACAAAAUUUCAAGGUUGGAGCCAGAGCAUUUAGGCAAGAGAAAGAAAUAAAGCAUGGCUGGUGCAGUGGCUCACACCUGUAAUCCCAGCACUUUGGGAGGCUGAGGGCAGAUCGCAUGAGGUCAGGAGAUCGAGACCAUUCUGGCUAACACGGUGAAACCUUGUCUUUACUCAAAACACAAAAAAUUAGCUGAUGUGGAACCCUAUCUCUACUAAAGAUAAAAAAAAUUAGCUGGGCAUGGUGGCACACACCUGUAGUCCUAGCUACUUGGGAGGCUGAAGCAGGAGAAUUGCUUGAAUCCAAGAGGCAGAGAUUGCAGUGAGCAGAGACUGCACCACUGCACUCCAACAUGGGUGACAAGACUCGAAACUCCAUCUCAAAAAAAAAAAGCAGGCCAGGCGUGGUGGCUCACACCUGUAAUCCAAGCACUUUGGAAGCCAAGGCGGGCAGAUCACCUGAGGUCAGGAGUUCCAGACCAGCCUGACCAACAUGGUGAAACCCCAUCUUACUUAACAACAACAAUAACAAAAGCAAGAAAAGGCAUCCAAAUUGGAAAAGAGUUAGUCAAAUUGUCCCUGUUUGCAGAUGACAUAAUCUUAUAUAUCAAAAUAACCUAGACUCUUCCAAAAACUCUUAGAAUUGGAAAAUUAAAGUUACAGGACACAAAGUUAAUGUACAAAAAUCAGUAGUUUUUCUAUACAUGAACAAUGAACUAGCUGAAAAGGAAUUCAAGAAGUACCAUUUAUAGUAGCUAUAAAAAAUUAAAAUAAAAUACCUAGGAAUAAAUUUAACCAAUAAGUGAGAGGCCUCUAUAAGGAAAACUACAAAACACAAAUAGAAGAAACUGAAGAUAACACAAACAAAUUGAGAGACAUCCCAUGCUCAUGGAUCAGAAGAAUUAAUAUUUAAAAAAAAUUUUUUUUGAGACAGUUUCGCUCAUUACCCAGACUGGAGUGCAAUGGCAGGAUCUUGACUCAACGCAACCUCCGCCUCCUGAGUUCAAGCAAUUCUCCUGCCUCAGCCUCCUGAGUAGCUGGGACUACAGGCACGCACCACCAUGCCCAGCUAAUUUUUGUAUUUUUAGUAGAGACGGGGUUUCACCUUGUUGACCAGGAUGGUCUCGAUCUCUUGACCUCAUAAUCCACCCGCCUGGUCUCCCAAAGUGUUGGGAUUAUAGGCGUGAGCCACUGCACCCGGACAUGAAGAAUUAAUAUUAUUAAAAUGACCAUACUACUCAAAGCAAUCUUCAGAGUCAAUCCAAUCCCUAUCUAAAUCCCAAUGGCAUUCUUCACAAAAAUAGGGGGCAAGAAACUCUAAAAUGUAUAUGGAACCACAAAAGACCCCAAAUACCAUGGGAAUCUUGAGCAAAAAGAGCAAAGCUGGAAGUAUCCAUGCUACCAGACCUCAAAAAUAUUACAAAGUUGUAGUAACAAAAACAGCAUGCUACUAGCAUAAAAACAGACACACAGACCAAUGGAACAGAAUAGAGAACCCAGAAAUUAAUCCACAUAUCUACAACCAACUUAUUCUUGACAAAGGUGCCAAGAAUACUCAAGAAGGAAAAGCCAGUCUCUUCAGGAAAUGAUGCUGGGGAAACUGGAUAUCCAUAUGCAAAAAAAAAAAGAAACUAGGCUGGGCACAGUGGAUCACACCUGUAAUCCCAGCACUUUGAAAGGCUGAGGCAGGAGGAUCAGUUGAACCCAAGAGUUUGAGACCAGGCUGGGCAACACAGCAAGACCCUGUCGCUACAAAAAUAAAAAAAUCAGCCAGGCAUGGUGACACACGUCUGUGGUCCCAGUUACUUGGGAGGCUGAGGUGGGAGGAUCGCUUGGGCCCAGGAAUUUGAGGCUGCAGUGAGCCAUGACUAUGCCACUGCACUCCAGCCUGGGCAACAGAGUGAGACCCUAUCUCAAAAAGAAAAAAAAAAUAGAUUAUAAAAUUAGACCCCCAUCUUUCACCCUAUAUAAAAAUUAACUCAAAAUGGAUCAAAGGCCAAAAUGUAAUAUUCAGAAUCUUGAAACUACUAGCAGACAUAGUGGAACUGCUUCAGAGCAUUGGUCUGGGAAGAGGUUUUAUGAAUAAGACCUCAAAAGCACAGGUAACAAAAGUAAAAAUAAAUGGGAUUAUAUCAAACUACAAAGCUUCUGCACAGCAAGGAAAGCAAUCAACAGAGUUAAAAGACAACCUACAGAAUAGGAGAAAAUAUCUGCAAACUAAUCAUCUGACAGGGUUUAAUAUCUAGAAUAUACAAGAAGCAAACUUUUUAACUCAAUUUAAUUUUAUUUUUUGAGACAGGGUCUUAUUCUGUCAUCCAGGCUGGAGUGCAGUGGCAUGAUCACAGCUCACCAUCUCAACCUCCCAGAAUCAAGCAAUCCUCCUACCUCAAUCUCUUGAGUAGCUGAGACUGUAGGUGCACACAGCUGCACCUGGGUAAUUUUUUAUUUCUUUUGUAGAGACAAGUCUCACUAUGUUGCCCAGGCUGAUCUUCAACUUCUUGAUACAAGCAAUCCUCCUGCCUCAGCCUCUCAAAGUGCUGGGAUUAUAGGUGUGAGUUACUAUGCCCAGCUGAAAUGGAAACAUCUCAACAGCAAAAAAACUCCAAACAAUCUGAUUUUUAAAAUUAGCAAACCGGGCAUGGUGGCUCACUCCUGUAAUCCCAGCACUUUGGGAGGCUAAAGUGGGUGGAUUGCCUGAGCUCAGGAGUUUGAGACCAGCCUGGGCAACACAGUCAAACCUUGUCUUUACUAAACCCCCCCAAAAAUUAGCAAGGCGUGGUGGUAUGUGCCGGUAGUCCCAGCUACUUGGGAGGCUGAGGAAGGAGAAUUGCUUGAACCUGGGAGGCGGAGGUUGCAGUAAGAUCACAUCACUGCACUCCAGCCUGGUUUGACAGAGUGAGACUUUGUCUUAAAAAAAAAGAGCAAAUGAUCUGAACAAAUAUUUCACAAAAGAGGAAAUGGCCAACAUAUACAAAAAAAUGGUCAGCAUCAUUAAUCAUAAGGGAAAUGCAAAUCAAAACCACAACGAAAUAUCAACUCACCAGUUACAAUGGCCGUCAAAGACAAAAAGUAACAAACACUGGUAAAAACGCAGAGAAAGGGGAACUUUUAUAUACACUGGGAAUACAAACUAAUACAACCACUAUGGAGAACAGGAUGGAAGUCCCUCAGAAAAACAAAAAUAGAACUAACACAUGAUCUAGCAAUCCCUCUACUGGGAAUUUAUCCAAAAGAAAGGAAGUAAUUAUAGCAAAGAGACAUCUAGAACCCCGAGUUUAUUGCAGCACUAUUCACCACAGCCCAAAUAGAGAAUCAACCUUGGUGUCCAACAACAGAUGAUUGAAUAAAGAAAGUAUGGGGGCCGGGUGCUGUGGCUCAGGCCUGUCAUCCCAGCACCUUGGGAGGCCAAGGCAGGUGAAUCACAAGGUCAGGAGUUCGAGACCAACCUGACCAACAUGGUGAAACCCCGUCUCUACUAAAAAUACCAAAAUUAGCCAGGUGUGCUGGCGCUACUAAUCCCAGCUACUCGGGAGGUGGAGGCAGAUGAAUUGAUUAAACCUGGGAGGCAGAGGUUGCAGUGAGCUAAGCAUCUUGCCACUGCACUCCAGGCUGGGCAACAGAGCGAGACUUCGUCUCAAAAAAAAAAAAAAAAAAAUGAGGCCAGGUGUGGUUCACCCCUGUAAUCCCAGCACUUUGGGAGGCCAAGGUGGGUGAAUCACCUAAGGUCAAGAGUUUGAGACCAGCCUGACAAACAUGGAGAGAGAAACCCCAUCUCUAUUAAAAAUACAAAAUUAACCGGGUGUAGUGGCGGCUGCCUGUAAUCCCAGCUACUCUGGAGGCUGAGGCAGGAGAAUCACUUGAACCUGGGUGGCGGAGGUUGCAGUGAGCUGAAAUCACACCAUUGCACUCCAGCCUGGGCAACAAGAGUGAAACUCCAUCUCAAAAAAGAAAAGAAAGAAGAAAAGAAAAUAUGGUACAUAUACACCACAGAAUACUAUUAAGCCAUAAAAAAGAAUGAAAUCCUGUCAUUCAUAGCAGCAUAGAUAGAACUGAAAGACAUUGGCUGGGCGUGGUGGCUCACUUCUAUAAUCCCAGCCUUUGGGAGGCCGAGGCAGGUGGAUCACUAAGUCAGGAGUUCAAGACCAGCCUGGCCAACAUAGUGAAACGCUGUUUCCACUAAAAAUACAAAAAAAUUAGCCAAGUGUGGUGGUGCAUGCCUGUAAUCCCAGCUACUUGGGAGGUGGAGGCAGGAGAAUCGCUUGAACCUGGUAGGUGGACGUUGCAGUGAACCGAGACUGCGCCAUUGCACUGCCUGAGUGACAGAGUGAGACUCUGUCUCAAUAAAAAAUAAAUAAAUAAAAAUAACUGGAAAACAUUAUUUUAAGUGAAAUAAGCCAGGAACAGAAUGUUAAACAGUGCAUGUUCUCACUCAUAUAUGGAAGCUAAAAAAAUCAAUCUCAGAAGUAGGAAGUAAAACAGAGGCUACUGGAGACUAGGAAGGGUAGGAGGAAAGGAGGGAGAGAUCUGUUAAAAGACACAAAAUUAUAGCUAGAUAGGAGGAAUACAUUCGAGUGUUCUAUAGCACUGUAGGAUGACUACAUCGUGUUGUUACAGUGGGUAGUCAGACAUGAGCAGGGCAGGAAAGGGUGCCCCAUCUCCAUCAGGAAUGUCAGGCAACCAUCAGGUGAUUGUCAGGCAGUUGUUAAACUUCUAAUGAUUGAUUGCAGCCAGUGCCAGGGAAAGGCAGCAGUCUCCCAAUAGAUAGAAACACCUGAAACUGGUCAUCAGUAGCUUCGUAAUAAGAUCUCAGGAGUUGGACAAGUAGGCGCAAGCAUUCGCACUAAGAGGCAAAAUGGAACUGUUUAACUGGUAUAUGACCUUCUUCUAGGAACACUUGACUGGUAAGGCAAAAUGCCUCAAGGAAGCCUGAGCACAAUUCACACUGUGCAUGUGGCUCCUCCCAAAUGCUGGCAGGUGAGGGAUCUGUGGGGAUCGCUCCCGUGUGAGGCCCCUAGGAAAUGGGCCUCGCCAUAUGGUGAGCUUGAGCCCAGACACAGAUCCCCGGUUGGGGGAGUUGAGCUGAGGGAAAGCAAGAACCGAGAGAGGGACUAUGCUAUUCAAAAUAAUUAACAGACAUUACUUUAUGGAUAUGAGGACUUGGGAGGCAUUGUGUCCACUUUCGGCUCCUUAUGGUUUAUUGCUUGAUUGUGUUCAUUUUGGACCUGUUACCUUCAUUGUAAAAUAUUAACUUAAGUAUUUACACUUGGUAACUUACUUACAUAACUUACUGGGCGUAACUGUAACUUGCUUACAAUUGUUAAGUACUUACUGGGCGUAACUUACUUACCGUAACUUACUGGGAGUAACUGACUUAUUGGGCGUAACUUAGUGGGCGUAAUUUGCUUACUGUAACUUAAGUAUGUUGAUCUGGCGUAAACAACAUUAACUUCAGAAAAGUAUAUAAUGGAACAUAUUGCAAAAAUAAAAUUGCUGCUUGGACAUAGCCUAAGCCA